CAUUUCCCCUUCCUCCUUUCUCAAUCCCUAAUCUCACGUCAUUUCACCCAAUUUCGCCGCGUCAAUCUCUUGCUUGGCGUCGACUUCGCCGUCGACGAGGAAGCCUUGCCACCGUUUCAUCAAUUCCUUCGCUUUUACGGUUCUCUCCAUCUGUCUCUCUCUUUCUCUCUUGCUCUCUCUCACUUUCUUCUGUUAGUUGCAGGAGCAAUUUGGUUGCUAUUCAUGCUGGAAACAGGGGCUAUCCUCCGAAUAAGGUUGUCUGUACUGAAGGACCCGACAAAGUCAGAGAAUUAAUUGCCAUAGGCGCUUCAUUUGAUCAUGGAGAAGAUGGUAACUUGCAUCUAGUGAGGGAAGGGGGUCAUUCACAUUGUCGAAUUGUUCAUGCUGCUGAUAUGACUGGAAAAGAAAUUGAAAGGGCUCUGCUAAAGUCAGUUGUUAAUUCUAAUAUUUUUGUGUUUGAACACCAUGUUUGUUUUCUCUGAUAUUAUUUUAUUUUUAUACUAAUGGUUUUGUACUGUAUCCCUUGCUGGUACCUCGCUCCAAGCAUGCUGGUAUUUGUCAAACAUUUGAAGUUUUAAAUUCAUGGGCUCCAUUCACUUGAAAUUGUUGCUGUUCAAAUUUUACUAGGUACAUUUUGAAUGUCUCAGUGCGUUCUCUAACUAAAGAUAUAUAAUAUGCCACUGGUGUUGUAGGAUGGAUCUGAUAUCACUUGUGUUGGUAUUGACACUCUGAAUACUGAAACAUUAGAGUUUUUAGGUGGUAAGAUUCCUUUCAAAUGUGACUUUGCUUGCAUCUGGUGGAGCUGGACAUAUUUAUCCCAAAACUACAAAUCCUCUGGUGGCUACCGGAGAUGGAAUUGCCAUGGCACACCGAGCUCAAGCUGUGAUUUCAAACAUGGAGUAAGUAGAUGAAGGCAAAAGGAUACAUAACUUAUGCAUCACAAAAUCUCUUGAAGGCAAAAGGAACUACAUAUUAAGUUAUAGUGUUGGGUUUUAAAUUGUAGCAUGAGUAUUUAUGUGUAAUUUGUUUGUAUUUGUAAACAUGUUGUAAAAGCAUGUAUAUGAAUGAAUUAGAUUGACUGAUUUGUUGACAUUAAAUUCUUGAAAUUAGAUUGGCUGUUUUGGGAAA